rnacentral:miRNA from 1 species
UUUGUCCAACGUAAACGGCA